CCGGAUUCCAGCUUGCCGCCGCUGCCUGAUGGACUAUGGCAACUCCGCAAGCCACUCCAGACAGCCAGUCAGCGGAGAGCAACUCUCUGGAGCUGCCGUCGGCUUGUGACAUAAGAGAUUACGUGCUGCGGGAACCCUGCCAGGAGGCCCACAGCGAGGCUGCUAGUUCUGCAGAAGGCCUUUCCGUUCUUUCCUCUUCUGAGGUGGAUCCAGACAGCGGUCACCUAAAUACUACACAACGUGACUCCUGGGCCUCUGAGAACUUCUGGCUCGACCCUUCUGUGAAUGGCCAACCAGAGACCAAGGCAGAGGAUGAGGAACUUCGGAAAUCCCUGGAUAGACUCUAUGAGAUGUUUGGCCACCCACCACCAGCCUCGCGAAACCCACUCUCUGCAUCUGUCUGCCAGUGCCUGUCUCAGAAAAUCGACGAACUGCAGGGCCAGGAGAGCCAGAAGUAUGCCCUCCGCAGUUUUCAAAUGGCCCGCGUCAUUUUUAACCGGGAUGGCUGCUCCUUGUUACAGAGGUAUUCCAGGGACGCCCAAUUCUACCCGCUGGGAGAAGGAAGCCAGUCUCUGGAUGACGAAAAGCCGACCCCAGGACUUUCCAAAGACAUUGUUCGUUUCCUCUUGCAGCAGAAUGUGAUGGGAGACCCAUAACUGGUGCCUGGUGGUGAGAGCAGGCCACUGUCAGUGCACCACCCAGGUCCCCUCCGGUCUGUCUUGCCAGCUGUGUGCCCCGCCCCCAGCUAAGUGCUCUGCAGCCAACAGCUGGCAUCUGUGACCAAGUAUUAGAGGCUGGUCAGCCCAAAUAGAGAGCCAUCGGUGCCGGGGAAUUUUACAGCCCCCGUGGCCACAUGCCCUCCUACCUUUCCCUUUGGCCUGAGGCCGGUGAUGGGCUGGUUUGGGAGUUCAAAAAGCCCAGCUUCCUUGUCUCAAAGGAAGGCAUGCUCUGUGGCAUAAUUUACUCUUUGGAGCUCCAGGCCGAUGCUGUCUUUCCAUUCAUUCACCUAUUGGUGCCACCUAUGAGCCUUUCCUCAAUAAAUUGCUUGUACUUGAAUCCCUGACUCAGAGUCCACUUCCGGGAGAACCAGACCUAAGGGAACAGGCUUCCAUCAGAUGGAUUUUUUUGAAGGGAAUAAAACCAUGCUGAAUCAAGUAAAGAAUUAUACCAUGUCGUAAAACUGUGACCACGCGAUUGAGAACGUCUGUCCCAGAAGAAUACAGAGAUUUCAAUACGCUUCCAAAAAAGUUCUUCGCAUCUUAGUCAGACCCUUGCCUCUCCAAAUCCAGAACUGCCUAUUUUAUAAUACCACCUGGGAGUGGAAGGGACAUGUGGACCUCCUAAAAUAACAGCUAGGAUUCGCAAAUUAAAGAAAAAAUAAGGUCUCUUUAUCUCCGCCAGAUUGCAAAUGUGGAAGGUCACGUUGCAAUGGCGCCUCCCUCCACUUUCUUCUCCAGGGGAACAUCACUCUCCCUAUGGGUCAGAGAACUCAAUGUUCCCAACAAGUUCAAGUUCAGAGAAAGAACAGGCUAUGGUGAUCCAAACGGCAGCCCUUGGGGAGAAAUGAUUCUCUAGUCCAAGAAGCCUGUGGACCAGACUCAGGCGUGUUUGCCUGUUUGCAGCCCCCGGGCCUUAUUCUCUCAUUGCUUUUUGAGAAACAUUGGCCCGAGCAAACCAUUUUUACAUCUGCCGUUUUCUUCCUCUUGCCAUUGCUGUCACCUGCUCCAAGCUUUCAUCUCCGGAAAGCCCUCCUCAAGGUUCUCCCUGCUGCCAGCCUCUCUCACACACUGGUCUUCCUAAAUCCAGUCAGUACUGGAUCCCAUCCCGUUCCCCACAGAAACCUCCCCAGCUCCUUAACACCCGCAGGGUGAAGCACAGACCAGGUCCACACUAUUCUAACCUGGCUGUCCUGCCCCCUCCUCAGUCCUAGAACCUUAUAUCCAAGCUCUAUGGCAGUGGUUGUCAACCUUCC